AUUGAACGCUGGCGGCAUGCCUUACACAUGCAAGUCGAACGGUAACGGGCCUUCGGGUGCCGACGAGUGGCGAACGGGUGAGUAAUGUAUCGGAACGUACCUUUCAGUGGGGGAUAACGUAGCGAAAGUUACGCUAAUACCGCAUAUUCUGUGAGCAGGAAAGCAGGGGAUCGCAAGACCUUGCGCUGAUUGAGCGGCCGAUAUCAGAUUAGCUAGUUGGUGAGGUAAAGGCUCACCAAGGCGACGAGCUGUAGCGGGUCUGAGAGGAUGCUCAGCCACACGGGAACUUAGACACGGUCCAGACUCCUCGGGAGGCAGCAGUGGGGAAUUUUGGACAAUGGGGGCAACCCUGAUCCAGCCAUGCCGCGUGAGUGAAGAAGGCCUUCGGGUUGUAAAGCUCUUUCGGCCGGGAAGAAAUCGUAUGGGCUAAUACCCUGUGCGGAUGACGGUACCGGCAUAAGAAGCACCGGCUAACUACGUGCCAGCAGCCGCGGUAAAAC
rnacentral:rRNA from 1 species